AGAUGUCGAAUCCAGCAAAAAUUUCCUGACCGACUUCGGGAGAGAGAGGAAUUAUUGCUACGUGCCUCUUUCCCAGUGAAGAAAAUCUCUGUUGGCUGCGAGCAGAGAAGCGGCGGAAGGAUUCCCGACUCCGGGAAGCCAGGUGUCGGAAGGAGGAGGUACGCUUGAAGGGGGUCCGGCUGCCCGACUCUGCACUCCUCCGUUCAUGGCCCACUGUGGUGGUCACCAAAUUGAGGGCUUCCUGGAAGGACCUCCUCACGGUGCCCAUCCACUGGGUCAUGUGGGUCUGAGCCACUGUGAGUUUAUCUCCCAGCUGUCUCUCCCUCCCUCUCUGGAAGGCAACACUGAGCCAGGAUCUCACUCUGUUGCCCAGGCUGGACUGCAGUGGCGUGAUCAUAGCUCACUGCAGCCUUGACCUCCUGGGCUCAAGUCAUCCUCCCACCUCAGCCUCCCAACUAGCUGGAACUACAGG